rnacentral:rRNA from 1 species
CCUACGGGAGGCAGCAGUGAGGAAUAUUGGUCAAUGGACGCGAGUCUGAACCAGCCAAGCAGCGUGAAGGAUGACUGCCCUAUGGGUUGUAAACUUCUUUUAUAUGGGAAUAAAAUGUGCCACGUGUGGGAUUUUGUAUGUACCAUACGAAUAAGGAUUGGCUAACUCCGUGCCAGCAGCCGCGGUAAUACGGAGGAUCCGAGCGUUAUCCGGAUUUAUUGGGUUUAAAGGGAGCGUAGGUGGGUUGUUAAGUCAGGUGUGAAAGGUUGCGGCUCAACCGUGAAAUUGCAGUUGAAACUGGCAGUCUUGAGUGCAGUAGAGGUAGGCGGAAUGCGUGGUGUAGCGGUGAAAUGCUUAGAUAUCACGAAGAACUCCGAUUGCGAAGGCAGUUCACUGGACUGCAACUGACGCUGAGGCACGAAAGUGUGGGUAUCAAACAGGAUUAGAUACCCUGGUAGUC